GCCGGGCGCGGUGGCGCGUGCCUGUAAUCCAAGCUACUGGGAGGCUGAGGCUGGCGGAUCCUUUGAGCUCAGGGGUUCUGGGCUGCAGUGGGCUAUGCCGAUCGGGUGUCCGCACUAAGUUCGGUAUCGAUAUGGUGCUCCUGAGGGAGCUCGGGACCACCAGGUCGCCUAAGGAGGGGUGAACCGGCCCAGGUCGAGAACGGAGCAGGUCAAAGCCCCCGUGCCGAUCAGUAGUGGGAUCGCGCCUGUGAAUAGACACUGCCGUGCAGCCUGAGUAAUACAGCGGGACUCAGUCUUUU
ensembl:misc_RNA Metazoa_SRP Metazoan signal recognition particle RNA